rnacentral:rRNA from 1 species
CGGGACGGGUGAGUAACGCGUGGGUAACCUGCCUCAUACAGGGGGAUAACGGUUAGAAAUGACUGCUAAUACCGCAUAAGCGCACAGUGCUGCAUGGCACAGUGUGAAAAACUCCGGUGGUAUGAGAUGGACCCGCGUCUGAUUAGGUAGUUGGUGGGGUAACGGCCUACCAAGCCGACGAUCAGUAGCCGACCUGAGAGGGUGACCGGCCACAUUGGGACUGAGACACGGCCCAA